CUUUAAAUGGCACAAUGUAUGAGCUUUAUAGUUGAAAUUAAUGAACAAGAAUCGUUGGAUGAAAAGACACGUGGCCUCAUCCAUAUGGUCGAGGCAUCUUAUCUUGGCAUUUAAUGUUAUGGCCUUGUUGCAGCCCUAGGCCUAAAGCUUACUUAGACUUGACCUAUUGACUUGGUAGGGUGAUUGUUCAAGUGAAUUCUCACAUUACUUUUCACAUAAGAUUUUGUAUAGAAGAUCUUUUGUAGAGCCUCUACCUACUUUGCCUCAUUCAUGAUAGUUCAGCCUCUUCAUGGGUGUUGAACAAAAUUUUUAAAUCGACAAAAUGAUGUGAAGUGCGGGCUUAGGUUCACUUGUUGUACAGUCACCACAUGGUCAUACAUGGAACCUCACUAGAAGAAGCAUAGCAAUAGUCCUCCUAAGUGCAUGUAGGAAUUUUCAUAUAAUGUGUGGCCUUUCGGGUUGAGAUGUACGUUUACUUUGCAUGCUGCAUGUUCUGUUCUUUGAAGAGGGAGUGCUCGAUUGCUAGGUCAUGAGAGUCGAAUGCUCGUUGUCGCGGUUGUUCUACGAUGCAAGAGAUGCCUUCAAAAAAUGAGCUUGAAGAAUUCUUUUUCGUUGCCCCAAAAAAAAAAAAAAAAAAAAACUCUAGAAAUCAUUUAUUGGCAAGUAACUCCUCAUGUCUCCGGCAAGCUUCUCAUCUAAAAGCUUAAAAACAAUUACAUGUAUUCAUUAAAUCUUACCUUAGUUUAUCAAAAUUGAGUCAAAAUUCUCUCUUGUGCACAAUUUUGAUAAAUGCAG
rnacentral:lncRNA from 1 species